GGGGCAUUAGCUCAGUUGGUAGAGCGCUUCAAUGGCAUUGAAGAGGUCAUCGGUUCGACUCCGUUAUGCUCCA
rnacentral:tRNA from 5 species